rnacentral:rRNA from 1 species
CUACGGGUGGCUCCAGUGGGGAAUAUUGGACAAUGGGGGAAACCCUGAUCCAGCAAUGCCGCGUGUGUGAAGAAGGCCUGCGGGUUGUAAAGCACUUUCGGUUGGGAGGACUGCUUCUAGCACUAAUAUUGUUGGAAGUUGACGUUACCUUCAGAAGAAGCACCGGCUAACUCCGUGCCAGCAGCCGCGGUAAUACGGAGGGUGUCAGGCGUUAAUCGGAAUUACUGGGCGUAAAGCGCGCGUAGGCGGCUAGAUCAGUCGGGUGUGAAAGCCCCGGGCUUAACCUGGGAACUGCAUCCGAUACUGUCUAGCUUGAGUACAGGAGAGGAGAGUGGAAUUCCACAUGUAGCGGUGAAAUGCGUAGAUAUGUGGAGGAACACCAAUGGCGAAGGCAGCUCUCUGGCCUGAUACUGACGCUGAGGUGCGAAAGCGUGGGGAGCAAACAGGAUUAGAUACCCUUGUAGUC